AGUGAACGCUGGCGGUAGGCCUAACACAUGCAAGUCGAACGGCAGCACAGUAAGAGCUUGCUCUUACGGGUGGCGAGUGGCGGACGGGUGAGGAAUACAUCGGAAUCUACUUUUUCGUGGGGGAUAACGUGGGGAAACUUACGCUAAUACCGCAUACGACCUACGGGUGAAAGCAGGGGAUCUUCGGACCUUGCGCGAUUGAAUGAGCCGAUGUCGGGUUAGCUAGUUGGCGGGGUAAAGGCCCACCAAGGCGACGAUCCGUAGCUGGUCUGAGAGGAUGAUCAGCCACACUGGAACUGAGACACGGUCCAGACUCCUACGGGAGGCAGCAGUGGGGAAUAUUGGACAAUGGGCGCAAGCCUGAUCCAGCCAUACCGCGUGGGUGAAGAAGGCCUUCGGGUUGUAAAGCCCUUUUGUUGGGAAAGAAAAGCAGCAGGUUAAUACCCCGCUGUUCUGACGGUACCCAAAGAAUAAGCACCGGCUAACUUCGUG
rnacentral:rRNA from 1 species